GAGGCCAGGAGCAGCGGCGCCGGCUGCUAGCAGCACCGCAGCACUUAGAGCCACCGUAACUGUUCGACAAAGCGGAGUCUCACACGCAGCCUUUAGCGUUGGUUUAGUAACGAGCUGAUCUCGGGGCGGGAGAAGCAGCUUAUAGCAGAGAAGUAAAUAGCUACAGCAGCAAAAAAGGAAACCUAAAAGAAGCAUGGGCCAGACACUGCUAAAUGGAAGGAAGACAGAAUAGUCUACUGAAACACAUGACAGAUGCAAGUGUUGUGGUAUGCCACUAAAAUAAUUAGACAGUAUCUGGUGAGGAAAAAGAUGACACCUGACAAGGAUUCUGUAAUUAAUCCCUACAGUAUUCAAGACAUCAAGGAAUAAAAUAAAAAAACAGUU